rnacentral:rRNA from 1 species
UACGAAGGGGGCUAGCGUUGCUCGGAAUCACUGGGCGUAAAGCGCACGUAGGCGGCUUUCUAAGUCAGGGGUGAAAUCCUGGAGCUCAACUCCAGGACUGCCUUUGAUACUGGAGAGCUUGAGUCCGGAAGAGGUGAGUGGAACUCCGAGUGUAGAGGUGAAAUUCGUAGAUAUUCGGAAGAACACCAGUGGCGAAGGCGGCUCACUGGUCCGGUACUGACGCUGAGGUGCGAAAGCGUGGGGAGCAAACAGG